GGAGAGUUGGCUCAGUGGUUAAGAGCAUUUGUAGUUCUUGCAGAGGAUCUGGGUUUGAUUCCCAGCACCCACCA
rnacentral:tRNA from 1 species